UUGUGCUCCAUUAAGCCUUUGCUUUUGAGCAUAACAACAAUUUCAGACAUUGUUGGCCUUGCAGCAGGAGAUGCUUGAGUGCAGAAUAAAUAAAUAAAAGAAUAGAAAUU